CAGUGAAUAAUUUUAAACGGCCGCGGUACUCUGACCGUGCAAAGGUAGCAUAAUCAUUUGCCCUAUAAUUGAGGGCUAGUAUGAAUGGUUUGACAAGAGUAUAGCUGUCUCUUUAUGAUUAUUUAGAAUUUUAUUUUUAGGUGAAGAAGCCUAAAUAUAAUUAAAAGACAAGAAGACCCUAUCGAGCUUUAAAUAAAUUAACGAAUUAUAAGAAAUAUUAUAAUAAAACAGUAUUCGUUAAAAAUUUUGGUUGGGGCGACAAAGGAACAAAAGAAGCUUCCUUCUAACACUUAUAACUAACUAGUAUUGAUCCAAAAAUUUUGAUUAAUGAAAUUAGUUACCGUAGGGAUAACAGCAUUAUCUUUUUUGAGAGCUCAUAUCGAAAAAAAGGUUUGUGACCUCGAUGUUGGACCAGAAUAUCCUAAAGAUGCAGAAGUCUUUAAGGGUUGGUCUGUUCGACCAUUAAAAUUCUA
rnacentral:rRNA from 1 species